AAUCUUCCUUUCUUGAUUUUUUAGAACCAGCACAAAACGUGAUGUAGUGCUUCGUCUGAGCCGGUAGAGGGCAGUCCACACUUCUUUAAGCGAACUGCGUGGGAGCCGCGGGAACUUGGCAACACAGAUCCCAGGGUUUUGUUUGUUUGCUUAUUAUUUUUAUUUCUUUAGCACAAUCCUAAAUCUCUUCAAACAUCUCUACUCUUUAAUCUAUUUUGCUGUUAUCAUCCUUUCAUCAACUUUUACGAGCGAUUUCAAACUGAGUAUCCUCAUGACAUGACGUGCAGAGUGGUGGAGGGGCCGGCAGGCCGUGGGGCGGCCAGAGAGAGGAACCCAGGUCUUCGCUGCCGUGCCACCAAGUGCUCAAGCUUUCCAGUCCUCCGUGUUCUCCCCCUUAAAACACAGACAAUGGAUAUUUGCUUCUCUGUUCAAAACAGAAGCACCGGCUUUCACGUUUCUUCGUGUGUGAGCAAACAUCGUGUUGCAGACGUCUGUCCAACGCCACAUCCUGAAAGGCGUCGUGGCAGACACCAAAAGUACAUACCCUGAGCAAACCUUGUCAGGAGAAAUAAACUCUCAUGCCAAGAAAAUGUCUUUGGUCUUUGACUGCUGGAUCUCUGCUUGCUUCCUUUGUAACUUUGGUGUGCGACUGACAAGGCCUGCUGAAUGUUUUGCUACACAGCGUGGAGAAACACAAUGGAGUGACAGUUUCAGAAGCUUCUUUGUGUAUUCCUGGGUGAAAAGUAGAAAGUGACAUAAAUAACAGAAAUCAGAAUUCCAGGAGAAACUGAAAACUUCCCUCUGUUUGCCAUUUUCUUCCUUCCUUUCAGGAGAAAAGACUGGACUCCUGGAGCUCAGCCUGGUGCUUGGCUGUGGAUCUCUGCAUCUGCUUCC